AGUGAACGCUGGCGGUAGGCCUAACACAUGCAAGUCGAACGGCAGCACAGUAAGAGCUUGCUCUUACGGGUGGCGAGUGGCGGACGGGUGAGGAAUACAUCGGAAUCUACUUUUUCGUGGGGGAUAACGUAGGGAAACUUACGCUAAUACCGCAUACGACCUACGGGUGAAAGCAGGGGAUCUUCGGACCUUGCGCGAUUGAAUGAGCCGAUGUCGGAUUAGCUAGUUGGCGGGGUAAAGGCCCACCAAGGCGACGAUCCGUAGCUGGUCUGAGAGGAUGAUCCGCCACACUGGAAGUGAGACACGGUCCAGACUCCUACGGGAGGCAGCAGUGGGGAAUAUUGGGGAAUGGAGGCAAGCCUGAUCCAGCCAUACCGCGUGGGUGAAGAAGGCGUUCGGGUUGGAAAGCCCUUUUGUUGGGAGAGAAAAGCAGCAGGUUAAUACCCCGCUGUUAUGACGGUACCCAAAGAAUAAGCACCGGCUAACUUCGUG
rnacentral:rRNA from 1 species